rnacentral:lncRNA from 1 species
GUUUUAAAUAGAACUGUCCAUUUGGCUAUGAGCGAAUCAUCCUGCUUGCUUUUAUAAGCAUUUAUCCUGAAAAGAAAUUUAAAGCAGACAUCCCAUAAAUGGAGUCUGGGACAGAAACCUACACAUUGGGAAAACAGUCCCUUGAGCUAUGAAAACUUAUAUGGCAGGAGAACAUUAAAAACCCAAAGUAUUUUUGAAGCUUAGUGUAUUUUUCUUUUUCUCUUUUUUUUUUCUUUUUUCCAGGCUUGGUGGCAUGCAUGUUUAGUCCCAGCUACACAGCAGGGAGGCUGAGGCUGAAGGAAUACUUGAGCCCAGGAAUUCAAGACUAGCCUGCACAACAUAGUGAGACCCUGACUUUAAAAUAAAUUUAAAAAAAUUAAAAGCAACAAGACUUUCUGCUUGUAUAUGAUGAUGUUAGUAUGCUGACUUACAAGGUUAGAUCAUUUUGAUAUGUGUGAUGUAGGUUUUCAAAGCUGGCACUGUUUUAUGCUUCAAAUAUUAUUUUUAUUCAUUGGUUCUCAUGGGAUUUCAUCACUAAGCUGUAAAUCAAUAAUCAUAAUGUUGAGGGGAGGGGAUUACAAAAUAGCUCUUCAAAAUCAUCUUUGCAUUUCUCAAUAAACAGCAUUCCCUUUUGGACUACAGUGAAAAAUAUUGAGCUUUGUUUACUUUGAAAAUGAGUCUUAGUCUAUGAAUGCCUGGGUAGGGUCAAGAAUGAAAAAUGAGAGGAAGAGAGAAGCAUCAGGAAGAUAAAAUGAUCAAUCUCACAAAACUUGCUAUUUUUAGAAAGCAUCAUUCUAAUUUUGAAACCAAAAAAAUGGGGAAAAACAGAGUAAUGGAAUAAUAGAAUGCCUCAUGUACAAAAGCAACAAUUUCAGAGAUGAUCUAAAACAACUUAUUAGUUAUAGGAAGAAAUAUACCUGAAAAGGGCAAAAAUAAGUUGGGUUUGGCCUCUUGUCACUGAAAUUAUCUACUAAAUCUAACAGCAUCUAUGUUCCUUUAGCUGUUGUGUAUAUUGUACACAAAUGUGAAACCAUAACUCAUAUUUUACCUAUAACAAUUUGCAAUAAAUAACUAAUUAUGAAGGCUUGCAUGUCAUUUUUGAAGACCUUGUAAGUCUAAUUCAAAGGAAUUUUCCAAGAAAAAUAUUGGGAGGUAGGGUUAUACAUUGACAUAUAUAAUUAUACACCUAUGCCAUAUAUAUGUAUGUAUGUGAAUAAUGAACACACAUAGGUAAUUUGAGAUUGAUUCCUCUAAAAAACUGUGCUCACCAGGUGUGGUGGCUCAUGACUGUAUCCCUAGCGCUUUGGGAGGCUGAGCCAGGCAGAUCACUUGAGGUCAGGAGUUUGAAACUAGCCUGGCCAACAUGGUGAAAACCCAUAUCAAGGGUGUG